ensembl:lncRNA
CGUUCAUACACUGUUCAUACACUAUGGACACUUUGGGCAUGCCAAUCAGUCUACCAUGCAUGUCUUUGGAAUGGGGAGGAAACCGGAGUACCUGGAGGAAACCCCCGCAGCACGGGGAGAACAUGCACACACAAGGCAGCAGGCAGGAAUCGAAUCCCCAAUGCUGAAGGUGUGAGGCGAAUGUGCUAACCACUAAGCCUAACAUAGGAUCUCUUCAUUGUGCUGGAGUCCUUUAAGGAUCCUCUUUACAAGCCUGUGCAUGAUGCAAACAGAAAUGGAUAUCUCUGAAAGCUGCCUUUUAAGCUAGCAGUCACUUCAGCUGCAUGCUCUGGUGAUAUGCUUACCUUGCAAGGAUUGAUGGCCAGAGGACUCUGGAGUGACCUUUGUUGCUGAACCCAGAAACCGAAGAGAAUAGGAAGGACAAGAGUGACAAAGUGUCCAAAAUGUCCAAACCAGAGCAUGGAGUUAAGACAUAGGAAAGGGUAAAGGAUGUGGCACGUACAGUAGUACGCACAUACUCAACCUGACUUCAUUAUUCACCCUGUACUGGAUUUACAGCGUUUUCAAUAGUGCAACUCACGCAUUUUACCAUGAUUACAAAUGACUAUUUAAG